CCUACGGGAGGCAGCAGUGGGGAAUAUUGCACAAUGGGGGAAACCUUGAUGCAGCAACGCCGCGUGAGUGAGGAAGUAUUUCGGUAUGUAAAGCUCUAUCAGCAGGGAAUAGAAAAGAAGGUACCUGAAAAAGAAGCACCGGCUAACUACGUGCCAAGAGCCGCGGUAAUACGUGGGGGGCAAGCGUUUUCCGGAUUUACUGGGUGUAAAGGGAGCGUAGACGGAAAGGCAAGUCAGAAGGGAAAGCCCAAGGCUCAACCAUGGGAUUGCUUUUGAAACUGGCAAACUAGAGUUAGGGAGAGGUAAGAGGAAUUCCUAGUGUAGCGGUGAAAUGCGUAGAUAUUAGGAGGAACACCAGUGGCGAAGGCGUCUUACUGGAUCGAAACUGACGUUGAGGCUCGAAAGCGUGGGGAGCAAACAGGAUUAGAUACCCCUGUAGUC
rnacentral:rRNA from 1 species